GACGAACGCUGGCGGCGUGCCUAAUACAUGCAAGUCGAACGCUGAAGGAGGAGCUUGCUUCUCUGGAUGAGUUGCGAACGGGUGAGUAACGCGUAGGUAACCUGCCUGGUAGCGGGGGAUAACUAUUGGAAACGAUAGCUAAUACCGCAUAAGAGUAGAUGUUGCAUGACAUUUGCUUAAAAGGUGCAAUUGCAUCACUACCAGAUGGACCUGCGUUGUAUUAGCUAGUUGGUGGGGUAACGGCUCACCAAGGCGACGAUACAUAGCCGACCUGAGAGGGGGAUCGGCCACACUGGGACUGGGAACCGGCCCAAACUCCUUCGGGAAGCAGCAGUAGGGAAUCUUCGGCAAUGGACGGAAGUCUGACCGAGCAAAGCCGCGUGAGGGAAGAAAGUUUUCGGAUCGUAAAGCUCUGUUGUAAGAGAAGAACGAGUGUUAGAGUUGAAAGUUCACACUGUGACGGUAGCUUACCAGAAAGGGACGGCUAACUACGUG
rnacentral:rRNA from 1 species